rnacentral:rRNA from 1 species
UACAGAGGUCUCAAGCGUUGUUCGGAUUCAUUGGGCGUAAAGGGUGCGUAGGCGGCGCGGUAAGUCGGGUGUGAAAUCUCGGAGCUUAACUCCGAAACUGCAUUCGAUACUGCCGUGCUUGAGGACUGGAGAGGGAUGCGGAAUUCCAGGUGUAGCGGUGAAAUGCGUAGAUAUCUGGAGGAACACCGGUGGCGAAGGCGGCAUCCUGGACCGGUAUUGACGCUGAGGCGCGAAAGCCAGGGGAGCAAACGGG